rnacentral:rRNA from 1 species
AUUGAACGCUGGCGGCAGGCCUAACACAUGCAAGUCGAACGAGUCGCGGACGGGUGAGAUAUGUCUGGGAAACCGCCUGGUGGAGGGGGAAAGCUACUGGACACGGUCGCUUCUCCCGCAUACUAUCGGAUGUGCACAGGUGGGUUUAGCUAGUAGGUGGGGUAAAGGCUCACCUAGGCGUCGAACCCUAGCUGGUCUGAGAGGAUGACCAGCCACACUGGAACUGAGACACGGUCCAGACUCCUACGGGAGGCAGCAGUGGGGAAUAUUGCACAAUGGGCGCAAGCCUGAUGCAGCCAUGCCGCGUGUAUGAAGAAGGCCUUCGGGUUGUAAAGUACUUUCAGCGGGGAGGCGUUACCCGCAGAAGAAGCACCGGCUAACUCCGUGCCAGCAGCCGCGGUAAUAC